UGAACAGUGCCUUGGACUCAAACCCCACCACUCACAGUCCAUUGGAUUCUGAGAAGUGCUUCUUUCUGAGAAGAAUCUCAGCCCAGAAGAGGAAGAACAGCAGAGCCUGAGUUCUGUGUUGGAGCUGAGGCUCUUCUCCUCAGACGGAGGACAGCAAGUGACAAGAUUGAUGGAGUCCUCUGUGCUUCUCUGCAAGGGUUGUACCACCUGGCAGAGGCUUCUGCUCACAGCCUCCCUCUUAACCUUCUGGCUCCUCUCCACCACCGCCCGUAAGACCACUGUGUCAGUGCCACCCCAAGUGGCUGAAGGAGAUGAUGUCCUGUUCCUUGUCCACAAUCUGCCAAAGGACAUUAAAUCCUUAGCCUGGUUCAAAGGGCAAGGAAACACAACCAAAAAAAUUGCAACAUAAACACUGCACAAUGAUUUAAGUAGGCGAGGUCUUGCGUACAGCAAUAGAGAGACAAUAUAUCACAACGGAUCUAUGCUGUUUGAGAAGGUCACCCUGAAGGACUCGGGAUUCUAUACACUACAAACCUAUAACAGACAUGGAAAAAAUGUAUCAACAACAUCCGUGAUCCUCGAUGUGAAAGCUUACCUUUGGAAGUGUGGGCGCCUUUCUACCUCUUCACAGCCCAGGAUUGAAUCAGUGCCGCCCAGCGUUGCUGAAGGGAGAAGU